rnacentral:rRNA from 1 species
CAGCNUCCUGGGAUAACACUGACGUUCAUGCCNGAAAGCGUGGGUAGCAAACAGGAUUAGAUACCCUGGUAGUNCACGCCCUAAACGAUGUCGAUUAGCUGUUGGGCAGCAUGACUGCUUAGUAGCGAAGCUAACGCGUGAAAUCGACCGCCUGGGGAGUACGGUCGCAAGAUUAAAACUCAAAGGAAUUGACGGGGACCCGCACAAGCGGUGGAUGAUGUGGAUUAAUUCGAUGCAACGCGAAGAACCUUACCUGGUCUUGACAUGUGCGGAACCCUCCAGAGACGGAGGGGUGCCUUCGGGAGCCGUAACACAGGUGCUGCAUGGCUGUCGUCAGCUCGUGUCGUGAGAUGUUGGGUUAAGUCCCGCAACGAGCGCAACCCUUGUCAUUAGUUGCCAUCAUUAAGUUGGGCACUCUAAUGAGACUGCCGGUGACAAGCCGGAGGAAGGUGGGGAUGACGUCAGGUCCUCAUGGCCCUUAUGACCAGGGCUUCACACGUCAUACAAUGGUCGGUACAGAGGGUAGCCAAGCCGCGAGGUGGAGCCAAUCUCACAAAACCGAUCGUAGUCCGGAUUGCACUCUGCAACUCGAGUGCAUGAAGUCGGAAUCGCUAGUAAUCGCAGGUCAGCAUACUGCGGUGAAUACGUUCCCGGGUCUUGUAC